rnacentral:rRNA from 1 species
UGCGUAGGCGGUUUGGUAAGUCUGAUGUGAAAUCUCAGGGCUCAACUCUGAGACUGCAUCGGAAACUGCCGGGCUUGAGUAUGGGAGAGGUGAGUGGAAUUCCUGGUGUAGCGGUGAAAUGCGUAGAUAUCAGGAGGAACACCUGUGGCGAAAGCGGCUCACUGGACCAUAACUGACGCUGAUGCACGAAAGCUAGGGGAGCAAACAGGAUUAGAUACCCUGGUAGUCCUAGCCCUAAACGAUGACUGCUUGGUGUGGCGGGUACCCAAUCCCGCCGUGCCGUAGCUAACGCGUUAAGCAGUCCGCCUGGGGAGUACAGUCGCAAGGCUGAA